rnacentral:piRNA from 1 species
UGCAGCACAGUACAGGAGGCUCCAAUUGA